UUUUAAUUUUUGAAGCAAAACAUUUGAUAUAUUUUAGAUAUAUCUAUAACAUUCAUCAUAGAGAAUUUGUACCUGUACAUGAUACAUCUUUUUUUCCCAUUCUCUCAUCCAACCCCUCCUUCCCCCUUAUAUACAAAAGCUCUCAUUUUUUCCUUCUAUUUUAAUAUCCCCUGCAAACAAAUUUAGAAACUUGAAGCUGAGCUGUGGAUUUUAACUGGAAUGAGUUUUGGUUGAGAAAAUGCAAACAAUCUUGAAAACAGGCUUGCAAUAUGGGAGAGAUAACAUUAAACUUUUCAGACUAAGAUCUUUAGUGGAUUCCCUUUGAAUUUUCACCUUGACAUUUGUACAAUUUGCAAGUAAAAUUUGGACUUCCCUACUCAAUUUUGUACUUUGUUUUGUAUUUUGAUACUCUCUCGCUAUAUAGCUCAGGCUAGCCUCUAACUUGCACUGAUGCUCCUGCCUCAGCUUCCUGAGUGCUGGAAUUACAAAUAUAUAUGAUGCCACACCCAGCUUGAUUUUAUACUUUUUCUUUUUUUCUUUCUUCCUUCUUUCAUUAUUCUUGUACUUGAGUAGAACAGACUGACUACAGAUUUAUUCUGUAAAAAUGUUGGGUUUGGAUUCAUACAAGCUUCAGGACAUGCUACCCCAAGUUACGAGUAGGAACCAGAAUAUUCCACUGUCUUAGCUAUCCGUCGCUGACAAAGUUCCUGAGAAAAUCAGUUUAAGAGGAGAGAUGUUCCUUUUGGCUCAUGGUUUAGGGUUUUUUGUCCAUAAACUCUUAGCUCUCCAGUCUUGGGUCUGUGGCAUGGCAAAACAAGGCAACAGCACUAUCUAAAUGUAACCGUUCUAGGUUCUCAUUAUCCCAAAGAACUAAGACACAAAAAUAGAAGUGAAAACAGAUGGGCCAAGAUACGCUCCUCAGGACGGGUGCGGCUAGGAAAGAGGUCGCACCCUAGGUUUUUACAGGGAGGGCGCCGCGCUUUGAACUGGUGCCACACUUCAUUCCAGAGACAUCUCCUUUCUGUUGGAGAAAGGGAUUUUUGUGCCUACAUGGAUCUCUGAGGCACUAUCAUGGAGCCGAAGACGGGGGGAUGAGGGGUUUACGCUGGGUCACUUUUAGUCAUUUAGGAAAUUCCACAGCAGCUGCGCCCCAGGCAUGGCUUGGUCGUUAGAGGUGGGGCCUCUCUGUGGUUUCCGGAGAGCUCAUCUCGGGGCAACAAAAUCCUGGAGGACAGGUGCCCUUCGUCUUCCCUGACUGUGGUGCAGCUAUCAGGACCAGGCACUUCGUAGGUUUUGGAGAGCCAGCUUCCUCUUUCUUCCUCUGCCCUUCAGCCUCCCUUCUUCCAGGAAUCUCUCCUCUCCACCUCCUCCACCAGUAGAUGUACGCCGGAAAACGCUUCACCUCCAGCCCAGCAGCGAGAAGAGAAGACCAGAAGUGUGGGGGUCCGGGAUAUCCGCUUUCGGGCCUCGCCCCCAGCGACCUCACUUCCGCCCAGCAGGCCCCUCCCCUCGAAGACUCCCCCACCUCCACUUGAGCCGCAGGCUGCGGACCGAGCCCCUAGCACGUCGGCCGGAGACCCGGCUAAGGCGUAAACGGGCACGGUGUCAACGUAUUCCCUGUAGCUGGGCGCUCCCCUCCUACCCACGGUUGGAUGACCACGGGGCCCGCGAAACCCCCGCUCUGCGGGUGGACCCCAAGUGAGCAGGUGGGCGAGGGGAGUCGUCGCCUCCACGGGUCCCGCCCCUCCAGCCCGCGGACCGCGGCCCUCACCGCCCGGGCUCUGCACAUUCAAUGCCGCUGAGUUUCGGGUUCAGGAAGCGGUUUCAGGGGCGCCGGGCCUUCGCGGUCGUCCCAGCCGGCCCUGGACGCUCAGCGCCCCUAUCUUUGAGUCCACGUGGCCAAUCUCCCCCGCCGCUGGCCGCGUGGCCUAAUGGAUAAGGCGUCUGAUUCCGGAUCAGGAGAUUGAGGGUUCGAGUCCCUUCGUGGUCGACGUUUUUCCUUCCUGUGCUACUAGGCGGAAGGAGAUUAAACUGAACGACGGUUAAGUCCGGUCGACAUCCGCUGACGGCGCACACGGUGCCUGCGUCACACCACCACGAGCCUUAUCAAUAUUCCCAUUUCACGGAGGCAGAAACCGAGACCUAAAAAGCCCUUGCUCAACUCCAGUCUACUUCCUGUCUCUGCAUGUGUGCCUGUUCUACACAUUUCACGUAAAUGGAAUUAUUCGGUUUCUGAGUCACAUGGCAAGUCUGGUGUUGAUCACUCCACAGUCCUUUCACCUUCCUGUGAGGUUCACAACAGUUUUCCCAGUUCUGUGGUCAUCAGUGAUUCCAAACUUGCCAAUUUAACUGUGCUUCAUCACCAUAGUUAGAAAUAACACAAUGGAUCUGGAACACAGCCUAAAAAUCUGGCACAUUUUUCUGACAUUGUUGCUGUCCUUGGAACCAUAAGCCAGCAACCCCCUCCCCCGGAAUAGUCCCAGCAGCAUGGAAGGAGCAGGACCAGGAAUCCUGCAAAAUCAGCUGCAUUUACCAUCAUCCAACCAAGCAGCCCUCUCCCUGACAGCAUGCAUGUGUAAGGAAAAUAAAAAUGCAGCUUCAUGCUGAG
ensembl:lncRNA